rnacentral:rRNA from 1 species
GGAGUUUGGACCGUGUCUCAGUUCCAAUGUGGGGGACCUUCCUCUCAGAACCCCUACCCAUCGUCGCCUCGGUGGGCCGUUACCCCGCCGACUAGCUAAUGGGACGCGAGCCAAUCCGUGACCACCAGGGUUUUCAACAAGGGAUCAUGCGGUCCCUCGUCCUAUGGGGGGUUAGGCGACGUUUCCAUCGGUUAUCCCCCGGUCACGGGCAUGUCGCUCACGCGUUACGCACCCUUGCGCCGGUCGCCGCCAGAAGUAUUGCUACUCCCGCGCUGCCCCUCGACUUGCAUGUGUUAAGCCUGCCGCUAGCGUUCAUC